GCGGAUGGCCGGAUGACCGCGGCCCCGGAGGUGAUCCGGGGGCGAGGAAAGUCCGGACUCCAUGAGGCAACGGUGCCGGGUAACACCCGGCCGGGGCAACCCGAGGGAAAGCGCCACAGAGAUCAGACUACCCGUGCCCGUCACGGGAAAAGGUGAAAAGGUGGGGUAAGAGCCCACCGCGGGACUGGCAACAGGACCGGCACGGCAAGCCCCACCGGGAGCAAUGCCAAAUAGGGGCCUCGCGCCCCGGAUCAUGUCCGGGGCAGGGACGCUUCAGCCCGAGAGGCCCGGGUUGGCAGCUUGAGCGCGCCGGUAACGGCGGGCCGAGAGGAAUGGUCAUCCGAGCCCCGGAUCACGGUCCGGGGUGGACAGAAUCCGGCUUACAGGCCAUCCGCGCAA
rnacentral:RNase_P_RNA from 1 species